CAGAUGUAUACUAAUAGCAAUUCAUUAAUUGAGCCACACAAGGCCAUAUUAGAUAUGGCCUGUAAACAAACACAACCAUGGAAAGAAACACAUCACUCCAUAGCCACAAGUAUUACAACAUAACACACACAUUAUUUAGCUAAAUUACGUUAUUAGCAACUCCAUCACACUAUAUGUUAAAGAGUUCAGUGACCACAAGUGCAGGUAGUGCAGGUGCAGUUAGCACCACACUUGCACUUGCCAUCGUUCUCGGCAGCAGCAGGAACCUCCAUCACAACAGUGGAGACAAAGCUGCAAGAAAAUCAAACAUUCCAUCAGUUCUGUGUAAGAUCUCAGAGUCUCGACGAAAUAUAGCAUGGAGUUUCAACUCGCAAGUCUUGAAUAAUAUAUUAUAAUCCAAGUAAAAUAUUGGAUGAAAUUGGAUACCUCUUCUCAGUCUCAACGAUGUCAGCGGUGUAGCUGCUGCCCUUCUUCCUGCAAAUAUCAAAGUGCAUAACAUCAAUAAUCAGCAUAGAAGUUGCAGACACUGAAGAAAUCUUUCAAGAAAUGCAAUAACAGGCCUCACAGAAACCAGAUUUUGAAAUAACUCACAGAUUUGAUCAGAUAGCUAACCCUAACAUAACAUCAAUUAUAAUGAAAAUUUGAUACUUACACGCACUGGCUCUUGUCAGCGCAGUCGCAGUUUCCGCAGGUGCUGGACAUGGCGGUGGAUUAACGUAGAAAGAAGCUCUGAAACUUGGAAAUCUGGAGGAUUGUAGAGUUGUUGAUGCGAAUGGCU
rnacentral:lncRNA from 1 species